rnacentral:rRNA from 1 species
UACAGAGGUCCCAAGCGUUGUUCGGAUUCACUGGGCGUAAAGGGUGCGUAGGCGGUCGGGUAAGUCUGAUGUGAAAUCUCACAGCUUAACUGUGAAACUGCAUUGGAUACUAUUCGGCUAGAGAGUUGGAGGGGGGACUGGAAUUCUUGGUGUAGCAGUGAAAUGCGUAGAUAUCAAGUGGAACACCAGUGGCGAAGGCGAGUCCCUGGACAACUCCUGACACUGAGGCACGAAAGCUAGGGGAGCAAACAGG